rnacentral:rRNA from 1 species
AACGAACGCUGGCGGCAUGCCUAACACAUGCAAGUCGAACGAGACCUUCGGGUCUAGUGGCGCACGGGUGCGUAACGCGUGGGAACCUGCCCUUAGGUUCGGAAUAACUCCCCGAAAGGGGUGCUAAUACCGGAUAAUGUCUUCGGACCAAAGAUUUAUCGCCUUUGGAUGGGCCCGCGUUGGAUUAGCUAGUUGGUAGGGUAAAAGCCUACCAAGGCGACGAUCCAUAGCUGGUCUGAGAGGAUGAUCAGCCACACUGGGACUGAGACACGGCCCAGACUCCUACGGGAGGCAGCAGUGGGGAAUAGUGGACAAUGGGCGAAAGGCUGAUCCAGCAAUGCCGCGUGAGUGAUGAAGGCCUUAGGGUUGUAAAGCUCUUUUAACCGGGAUGAUAAUGACAGUACCGGGAGAAUAAGCUCCGGCUAACUCCGUG